AGAGCGAACGCUGGCGGCAGGCCUAACACAUGCAAGUCGAACGCACCUUCGGGUGAGUGGCGGACGGGUGAGUAACACGUGGGAACGUACCUUUUGGUUCGGAAUAACGCAGGGAAACUUGCGCUAAUACCGAAUGUGCUCCGUAAGGAGGAAAGAUUUAUCGCCAUUAGAGCGGCCCGCGUUAGAUUAGCUAGUUGGUGAGGUAAAGGCUCACCAAGGCUACGAUCUAUAGCUGGUCUGAGAGGAUGAUCAGCCACAUUGGGACUGAGACACGGCCCAAACUCCUACGGGAGGCAGCAGUGGGGAAUCUUGCGCAAUGGGCGAAAGCCUGACGCAGCCAUGCCGCGUGAAUGAUGAAGGUCUUAGGAUUGUAAAAUUCUUUCAGUAGGACGAUAUGACGGUACUACAGAAGAAGCCCGGCUAACUUCGUGCCAGCAGCCGC
rnacentral:rRNA from 1 species